UACGAAGGGGGCUAGCGUUGCUCGGAAUCACUGGGCGUAAAGGGUGCGUAGGCGGGUCUUUAAGUCAGGGGUGAAAUCCCGAGGCUCAACCUCGGAACUGCCUUUGAUACUGGGGAUCUCGAGUCCGGGAGAGGUGAGUGGAACUGCGAGUGUAGAGGUGAAAUUCGUAGAUAUUCGCAAGAACACCAGUGGCGAAGGCGGCUCACUGGCCCGGAACUGACGCUGAGGUGCGAAAGCGUGGGGAGCAAACAGG
rnacentral:rRNA from 1 species